rnacentral:rRNA from 1 species
CAGUAGCCACGGUAAUACGUAGGUCCCGAGCGUUGUCCGGAUUUAUUGGGCGUAAAGGGAGCGCAGGCGGGCAUGUAAGUCUUUCUUAAAAGUUCGGGGCUCAACCCCGUGAUGGGAAAGAAACUACAUGUCUUGAGUACAGGAGAGGAAAGCGGGAUUCCCAGUGUAGCGGUGAAAUGCGUAGAUAUUGGGAGGAACACCAGUGGCGAAGGCGGCUUUCUGGACUGCAACUGACGCUGAGGCUCGAAAGCCAGGGGAGCGAACGGGAUUAGAUACCCCAGUAGUCCCUGUCUCUUAUACC